GAUGAAGAACGCAGCGAAAUGCGAUACGUAGUGUGAAUUGCAGAAUUCAGUGAAUCAUCGAAUCUUUGAACGCACAUUGCGCCCUUUGGUAUUCCAAAGGGCAUGCCUGUUCGAGCGUCAUUUGUACCCUCAAGCUUUGCUUGGUGUUGGGCGUCUUGUCUCCAGUCCGCUGGAGACUCGCCUUAAAGUCAUUGGCAGCCGGCCUACUGGUUUCGGAGCGCAGCACAAGUCGCACUCUUUUCCAGCCAAGGUCAGUGUCCAACAAGCCUUUUUUCAACUUUUGACCUCGGAUCAGGUAGGGAUACCCGCUGAACUUAAGCAUAUCAAUAGCGGAGGA
rnacentral:misc_RNA from 1 species